UACGGAGGAUGCGAGCGUUAUCCGGAUUUAUUGGGUUUAAAGGGUGCGUAGGCGGAUUUUUAAGUCAGCGGUAAAAUGUCCGGGCUCAACCCGGGCCGGCCGUUGAAACUGGGGAUCUUGAGUGGGCGAGAAGUAUGCGGAAUGCGUGGUGUAGCGGCGAAAUGCAUAGAUAUCACGCAGAACUCCGAUUGCGAAGGCAGCAUACCGGCGCCCGACUGACGCUGAGGCACGAAAGCGUGGGGAUCGAACAGG
rnacentral:rRNA from 1 species